rnacentral:lncRNA from 1 species
CCAUACUUUGCCUAUCCCAUUAUAUCUGCUCAGCCGCCUGUUUCUACAGAGUAUACAUAUUAUCAGCUGAUGCCAGCACCAUGUGCCCAGGUUAUGGGUUUCUAUCAUCCUUUUCCUACACCUUACUCCAACACCUUUCAGGCUGCAAAUACUGUAAAUGCUAUCACCACAGAAUGCACUGAGCGUCCAAGUCAGCUUGGACAGGUCUUCCCAUUGUCCAGCCAUCGAAGCAGAAACAGUAACAGAGGAUCAGUGGUCCCAAAACAACAGCUUUUACAACAGCACAUAAAAAGCAAAAGGCCGCUGGUGAAAAAUGUAGCUACUCAGAAAGAAACAAAUGCAGCAGGUCCUGAUAGUCGAUCAAAAAUUGUGCUUCUGGUAGAUGCUUCACAGCAAACUGAUUUCCCAUCAGAUAUCGCUAACAAGUCUCUCUCAGAGACCACUGCAACAAUGCUCUGGAAGUCCAAGGGCAGGAGAAGAAGAGCAUCCCACCCUACUGCUGAAUCUUCUAGUGAGCAGGGGGCUAGUGAAGCCGACAUUGACAGUGAUAGUGGUUACUGCAGUCCCAAACACAGCAACAACCAGCCUGCAGCAGGGGCUUUGAGAAAUCCUGAUUCUGGGACCAUGAAUCAUGUGGAAUCAUCUAUGUGUGCAGGUGGUGUAAAUUGGUCCAAUGUAACUUGCCAGGCAACUCAGAAAAAACCUUGGAUGGAAAAAAAUCAGACAUUUUCUAGAGGUGGAAGGC